UACGUAGGGUGCAAGCGUUAAUCGGAAUUACUGGGCGUAAAGCGUGCGCAGGCGGUUUUGUAAGUCUGAUGUGAAAUCCCCGGGCUCAACCUGGGAAUUGCAUUGGAGACUGCAAGGCUAGAAUCUGGCAGAGGGGGGUAGAAUUCCACGUGUAGCAGUGAAAUGCGUAGAGAUGUGGAGGAACACCGAUGGCGAAGGCAGCCCCCUGGGUCAAGAUUGACGCUCAUGCACGAAAGCGUUGGGAGCAAACAGG
rnacentral:rRNA from 1 species